rnacentral:rRNA from 1 species
AGACGGAGGGGGCUAGCGUUGUUCGGAAUUACUGGGCGUAAAGCGCGCGUAGGCGGUGGUCGAAGUUGGGCGUGAAAGCCCGGGGCUCAACCCCGGAAUUGCGCUCAAAACUGGAUCACUAGAGACCGGGAGAGGGUAGUGGAAUUCCCAGUGUAGAGGUGAAAUUCGUAGAUAUUGGGAAGAACACCAGUGGCGAAGGCGGCUACCUGGACCGGUACUGACGCUGAGGUGCGAAAGCGUGGGGAGCAAACAGGAUUAGAAACCCUGGUAGUCC